rnacentral:lncRNA from 1 species
CUUCUAGUUUUAUUCAUAAUAUUUUGUUCAAUACCAGAUUUGCCUUUAUUCCCAGUGAAGCAGAGAAAUAUAUAGAAUACAUAUAGAUAUUAUAUAUAAAAACUAAUGGAACAUUCAUCAAUAUCCAUGCUCACUAGUCAUCAUAAUUGACUUAGUUUCACACCAGAUUUGCCUUUACUCCUAGUGAAGCAUAGUAGUACACAUAAUACAUACACAUUAGAUACAUAUAUAAAACCUAAUGGAACAUUCAUCAAUCCGUGCUCACUAGUUAUCAUAAUUGACUGAUUAAUUAAGUAAUUAAUCAAUCAAUCCUUCUUGUGCUCUUGAUCAGCACGUCGUACUUCAAGGCCGCCAUCAGGUCUCUUCUCAAGUGAAUAAGGCAUAUAGGUUCCUAGAAUUCUGUCCCAUAUGUCAAAGUAGACAGAGAAGUUGUAUUUGGUACCAUAAAGCUGAUGGUGGACAUCAUGGUAUGCCGAAUUGUUGUUAAAAAAGAGGUAAAAGGGGUUUCCGGGAAGCUUCAUCCCGCAAUGAUCAUCCACUAAUUUAAGGAUGGUAAAGGAGGAGAAAAACAUGGCAAUCCGAGGAGACAUGCCGGAGAGGAGUACAGCUAAUGUUCCGCCCAUGGUGUCCAAGAACCCCUC